AAAUUAUACGAAGGGACCCAACACAGAAAAUUCAUUUUAUUGAAUUUUACAUUUAUGUGCAUGUUGGGCAAAGUGUCUUAUUUUUUAAAGUAUUUAAAAGUAAAAUUACAUGUUAAUACGUAGUAUUAAUGGCGAGACUCCUGAGGGAGCAGUGCCAGUCGAAGACAGGGGCCCCAACACAGAAGCUGACAUAUAGUCAGCUUACAACAAUGUGCCGGUUGGG
rnacentral:sRNA from 1 species